UAGAGCGAUUGAAAUCAGCUGGCUGAACGUGGAACGCAUCCCGGAACGGCGAGCAAGUGCAGUUCUUGCCAGAAGCAGCUCCUGUGAGGAUCAGGGUGCAGAGCUGGGUCUUCAGCAUCCGACUUUUGUGAUGGGUUUAGGAUUUGAGGACCCCUCCAUCUCUCAGAAGAAAUGUCCGCCCCAGACGAAGGAGAUGUGAACGGUCCCACCCAGAACCCAACUUCAUCUUGACCCCUAUUCUGGGAGGUCUCCUGCUCCCUAUCUCUUCAUUUCUUCUCAUUGGACCCGGAAUCGAUUGCCUCCAUACACAGUUGCUUAUACCCAGCAUGCAGCACUGGAGCUGGCACAUAACAGGAGCCUGGUAAAUAUUUGCAGAGAAGUGAAUGAAAUGAAAAGCUACACUUACACAACGAGUACCUCCUGAUGUUGUUUCCUGGUGACAGGCAGCUUCUGUUCUGAGAAUACAAUGGACUUUGUCUCUUAUGGAUGAUUUAUUCUGUCAAUAAUUUGCCGGGGGAGGGCAGUAGCUCCUUGCUUCCAACUCUUGGUCUCCACAUUCCUCUUCUGUAAAUCAAUCCUUCCCCGAACUGUAGCGGAACCAAAUCCCAUGGAUUCUACCUGAGCUCUGCCUCUGGACCCCCACCCUUCCUUCUGCCGCGGCCUUUCGGGGUCUUUGUCACUUCUCGCCCGGAUUCCCACCCUAGAUUCCUAAUUGGGUUCCUUGGCAACAGUCUUGCCCAAUCCUGCCUCACCUCCCCCUCAGCUGCCAGAGAUGUCAUCAUCAAAAUAUUUGAAAAACGAAUUCUAGGGUUAAAGACCUCCCCUGCUCUCUCGAACCUAGAGAUAGGAUCAAGUGCAAACAUUUCGGCGUGAGGUUCAAUAAGCCUUCCAAUCUGCCCUGGGGUCCUUCUCCUAGCUCCUCUCCCAUAGGCCCCCCUUUCCCACCAUGCAGCCCCUGCCCAGCCACGGUACUGAAUGAAUGUGACUCCCCGGCUGCAAAGCCGUGACGUGAUGCGGGCCAUCUUCUUUGCCUGGCCUGCCUUGUCUCCCCUGCGGCAGCCAACAGUCUCCCUCCUGACUCGUUCUUGGGAAGCCUGCUCAGUCUCUGUUGUUCCUAUCUCUAUUAAAAUCUUCAUUUUAAUGUGUCUUAAGUCUGCAGUCGCAGCUGCUGCUCCUGCUGUUUUUCAGCGAGGAAGGCGCAUUGUUGGAAGACACGAAGGAAGGGAGGAGGAAAGGAAAAAAAUUGGAAGGGAAAGAAAUUGUCCCAUAGCUAGCACCCCAUCCCCGACUUACUUCCUCCUGCCCGCUAUUCCACUAAGUUACUCUGAAAGGCCUUUUGUGAGAAUGAUCUGUUGCGUUUUCCUGCCUGACGUCUCUUCCCUCUUCUUCCCUAUGGGAAAAGCUGCCCUGUCUGGUUUGAGUGGCUUGGGUCAUAGCCGCAUCCUUGGACCUCAUGCAUGGGAGAAUUGGGCUCAUGACCCAAAUGAUACCAUUCAAAAUCUUCCUUAAGGCUUUUUUUUUUUUUGCCAAAGAAACAUCCUCUCCUUCCUCUGAGGAUGCUAAGCUGGUAUGUGCUUCCAUUGAUCAUUAUGAUCUCCAGUAGAGAAAGCCUGUCUAAGAGAUCAGGAAUCCUGGGGCGCCUGGGUGGCGCAGUCGGUUAAG